rnacentral:ribozyme from 1 species
AAAUAUGCAAGAAAGUUGAAAAAAAGGAAGAGUAUUAAACAAUAUUUGUAUUUUUCCUUAAUUUCUUCUCUGUUUUUUUUUUUGUUUUUU